rnacentral:antisense_RNA from 1 species
CUUCACCGUGCCCAGCCAGAGCGGGUCGGCGCCGGCCGCCCGGCCCUGCCCGUACGUGGACAGCAACGCCUGGGCCUC